GCACCUCAGUGAUUCCGGCUGUGAAAGCCUUCGACAAUACAUUGAAAUUUAACUUAUUAUAAUUUUAGGGUUUGGUUUGGAUUCCAGAGCUACAGUUCUCUUGAUCUAUUUAAGUAUGGUCAUAUUAGUCUUUAUAGAAAAUAAGAAAAAAUUUUCCCACCUUUGAGUUUGUAUCUUUCUAUACAGAUUGUGUGCUUUUGAUAGGCUAGUACUGUUUCAUCAGAGACUACUGGGACUGUUGGCACUUCAUACUGUGUGGUCUUGUGCCAUUAUGUGAUUUUUGCUGUAGUACUUUCUUUAUUUGAUUUAAUGUUUUCCAUUUUGGCCCCAGUCGCCAACUUUUUCCUCAUAUUAUCCUGGCAUUUUAGUAUGUUGCUCAGUGUUCCCCCUGGAGAUGAAAGCAUCAUAUCAUUACUUGCCAGUGGAAUAAGAGUAGGGAAGCAAACUGGAGGUCUUCCCAAGAACAGCAACGCCUGGGAACCCCCGGUGCAUUUUUGUGUGAUGAGCUAUACAGUGCCUUUUGCUACCUUGCUGAUGGGACUGCUGCUGAGCAGAACCAUGGCCUGGACCUCGACUGGGAAGACACAUGCUGAAUUGAUCAACAACCUUUACAAAAAUGGUGUGAUUAAGUCUCAGCGAGUCUAUGAUGUAUUACUGGCCACAGACCGAGCACACUACACCAAGUAUUUUCCAUAUAUGGAUUCUCCUCAAUCCAUUGGAUACCAGGCUACAAUCAGUGCACCUCACAUGCAUGCUCAUGCUCUAGAGUUACUGAAGGAUCAGUUAGUGGAAGGAGCCUUGGCACUGGAUGUGGGAUCAGGAAGUGGAUACCUCACGGCGUGCUUUGCUAGGAUGGUGGGUCCCACAGGGAAGGCAGUGGGAAUUGAACACAUUGAAGAUUUGGUUCAUGAAUCCAUCAGAAAUGUCAGAGAGGAUGAUGCAACUUUGCUUAGCUCUGGACGUGUGAAACUUCUAGUUGGGGAUGGCAGAAAGGGGUACCCUGAAGAAGCCCCUUAUGAUGCCAUCCAUGUUGGAGCAGCUGCACCCACAGUGCCAAACGAGCUGCUGAAUCAGUUGAAACUUGGAGGACGACUAAUUUUGCCUGUAGGGCCUGAGGGUGGAAACCAGGUUAUGAUGCAGUAUGACAAAACUGAAGAUGGAAAUAUUGUGGAGAAGCAACUUAUGGGUGUAAUCUAUGUUCCUCUGACAGAUAAGGAGAAACAAUGGCCUCGGUAAAAUAUUAAUGAGCUCUUCUCCUCUUUUGCAAGGCACAGCUGUAAAAAAGUUCACUUUUCCUAUAGUUACAUCUUAAUAGUGAAAAGAAAAUCCCUAACCACUACCCUUUGUACUAGGCAAUGCAAAGAAAUUGGGUGCAGUGCAGCUAUUAUAAGAGUUCAUAAAAGUAGAAAUAGGAAAGUGCCUUGGGAACCACAGAAAAGAAACUCGUAGCUUCAGUUUCUUAUUCCAUAUAACGAUGUCAGUAUUUUUAAAUCUUUGCUGCAGACACAAACCGUCUAAACUAAUAAUAAAUAACAAUCACACUGAUCUUUCAUGCUUUGUCCAAUGAGCUCAGGACCACGUAUGUGACUAGUCCCAUUUUAUCCCACUGCAUAAGAACAUAAGAACUAUGGGUGUAAUCUAUGUUCCUCUGACAGAUAAGGAGAAACAAUGGCCUCGGGAUGAAAUUUAAAUGAGUUAAAUCACUUGUAAAGGAUCUCUUGGAAAGCCUGUCAACCGUGCUUGGAUCAGGCAUUCAUAUGCUGCAUAUACACACAUAUAAGGCUUUGGGUUUUUUUAAUGAACCUUUUCUCUACGCCCUUGGUAAUAUCACAAAUACAAUUUUGGGUAAUGAGACUGUCUGGAGACAGACUCCCCAGAAUCUUUAUUCCCAAGAACUGUUGCAGCUGUGACCAAUCAUUUAAGUAAAUUUAAAAAUAACUUUAAUGUUGGUUCAGCUGUCUUUUUCUUUUUUUGUAGAUUAUGGUAUAUUUUAAAUGUACCUUUAAUGCUAGUUGGAAAAUGUUCCUGUUUGAACAUCUACUGCUGAAAGUGACAUAGUGGAUCAGUUAAUAAAAAAUUAAACCUG